rnacentral:rRNA from 1 species
AUUGAACGCUGGCGGCGUGCUUAACACAUGCAAGUCGAACGGUAAGGCCCUUCGGGGUACACGAGUGGCGAACGGGUGAGUAACACGUGGGUGAUCUGCCCUGCACUUCGGGAUAAGCCUGGGAAACUGGGUCUAAUACCGGAUAGGACCCUGGGAUGCAUGUCCUGGGGUGGAAAGCUUUUGCGGUGUGGGAUGGGCCCGCGGCCUAGCAGCUUGUUGGUGGGGUGAAGGCCUACCAAGGCGACGACGGGUAGCCGGCCUGAGAGGGUGACCGGCCACACUGGGACUGAGAUACGGCCCAGACUCCUACGGGAGGCAGCAGUGGGGAAUAUUGCACAAUGGGCGCAAGCCUGAUGCAGCGACGCCGCGUGAGGGAUGACGGCCUUCGGGUUGUAAACCUCUUUCAGCACCGACGAAGCGCAAGUGACGGUAGGUGCAGAAGAAGGACCGGCCAACUACGUGCCAGCAGCCGCCGUAA